UGGGGAAUAUUGGACAAUGGGCGCAAGCCUGAUCCAGCAAUGCCGCGUGUGUGAAGAAGGCCUUCGGGUUGUAAAGCACUUUUAUCAGGAGCGAAAUACUACCGGCCAAUACCCGGUGGGGCUGACGGUACGUGAGGAAUAAGCACCGGCUAACUUCGUGCCAGCAGCCGCGGUAAUACGAAGGGUGCAAGCGUUAAUCGGAAUUACUGGGCGUAAAGGGUGCGUAGGCGGUUCGUUAAGUCUGUUGUGAAAUCCCCGGGCUCAACCUGGGAAUGGCAAUGGAUACUGGCGGGCUAGAGUGUGUCAGAGGAUGGUGGAAUUCCCGGUGUAGCGGUGAAAUGCGUAGAGAUCGGGAGGAACAUCAGUGGCGAAGGCGGCCAUCUGGGACAACACUGACGCUGAAGCACGAAAGCGUGGGGAGCAAACAGG
rnacentral:rRNA from 1 species